rnacentral:tRNA from 1 species
GACCGACUACGCAAAUUGGCAAAGCGAUCAGGUCGAGAGCCUGAUGAUUCUGUGGGUUCGACUCCCAUGUCGGUCA